rnacentral:rRNA from 1 species
GAGUGCGACCAUACCAGCACUAACGCACCGGAUCCCAUCAGAACUCUGAAGUCAAGCGUGCUUGGGCAAGAGUAGUACUAGGAUGGGUGACCCCCUGGGAAGUCCUCUUGUUGCACCCA